CCGGGCAGCUUGCUGCCUGGUGAGAGUGGCGAACGGGUGAGUAAUGCGUGACCAACCUGCCCCAUGCUUCGGAAUAGCUCCUGGAAACGGGUGGUAAUGCCGGAUGCUCCGCACCGUCGCAUGAUGGUGUGGGAAAGGGUUUACCGGCAUGGGAUGGGGUCGCGUCCUAUCAGCUUGUUGGCGGGGUGAUGGCCUGCCAAGGCUUCGACGGGUAGCCGGCCUGAGAGGGCGACCGGCCACAUUGGGACUGAGAUACGGCCCAGACUCCUACGGGAGGCAGCAGUGGGGAAUAUUGCACAAUGGGCGAAAGCCUGAUGCAGCGACGCCGCGUGCGGGAUGACGGCCUUCGGGUUGUAAACCGCUUUUGAUUGGGAGCAAGCGAGAGUGAGUGUACCUUUCGAAUAAGCACCGGCUAACUACGUGCCAGCAGCCGCGGUAAUACGUAGGGUGCAAGCGUUAUCCGGAUUUAUUGGGCGUAAAGAGCUCGUAGGCGGUUCGUCGCGUCUGGUGUGAAAGUCCAUCGCUUAACGGUGGAUCGGCGCCGGGUACGGGCGGACUGGAGUGCGGUAGGGGAGACUGGAAUUCCCGGUGUAACGGUGGAAUGUGUAGAUAUCGGGAAGAACACCGAUGGCGAAGGCAGGUCUCUGGGCCGUCACUGACGCUGAGGAGCGAAAGCGUGGGGAGCGAACAGGAUUAGAUACCCUGGUAGUCCACGCCGUAAACGGUGGAUGCUGGAUGUGGGGCCCGUUCCACGGGUUCCGUGUCGGAGCUAACGCGUUAAGCAUCCCGCCUGGGGAGUACGGCCGCAAGGCUAAAACUCAAAGAAAUUGACGGGGGCCCGCACAAGCGGCGGAGCAUGCGGAUUAAUUCGAUGCAACGCGAAGAACCUUACCUGGGCUUGACAUGUGCCGGACGGCCGCGGAGACGCGG
rnacentral:rRNA from 1 species